rnacentral:rRNA from 1 species
GCGCAUCUGUGCAUGCAGCAUAUCAAUAAGCGGAGGAAAAGAAACUAACAAGGAUUCCCCUAGUAACGGCGAGUGAAGCGGGAAGAGCUCAAAUUUGAAAUCUUAAAGGGUUUCCCUUUACGAAUUGUAGUUUAAAGAAGUGUUUUCUGUUGAGGUUUUGGUAAAAGUUCUUUGGAAUAGGACAUCAUAGAGGGUGAGAAUCCCGUAUUUGACCUUUACUUUCAACUUUGUGAUACACUUUCAAAGAGUCGGAUUGUUUGGGAAUGCAGUCCAAAAUGGGUGGUAAAUUUCAUCUAAAGCUAAAUAUUGGCGAGAGACCGAUAGUGAACAAGUACCGUGAGGGAAAGAUGAAAAGAACUUUGAAAAGAGAGUUAAACAGUACGUGAAAUUGUCAAAAGGGAAGCGUUUGACACCAGUGUUGUUUUUCUGAAAAUCAAUUAAAGAACUGUUUAUGCUAAGCUGUUUAGACUUUAUCAGCUAACUGUUUAGUUUUGAGCUUUUCUUUAAUGCACUUUUCAGUUAACAAGUCAACAUCAAUUUCUUUUGCUGUAAAAAAGCUUGAGGAAGGUGGCUUGAGAUUCGUCUUAAGUGUUUAUAGCCUCUUGCCUAUGCAGUCGGAGAGAUUGAGGUCUGCAGCGUAGAUCCUUCGGGGCUAAAUGCAUUUGUGCUAAGUUAUAGCAUUUUAUAGACAACUUGUUGACUAUGAUUUGUCUUGUAGCUUACUCGCUUAUGUUAUUUUACCUACGCUUAGGAUGUUGAGUCAUCACACAUCUCU